rnacentral:tRNA from 1 species
GGGGUUGUAGCUCAAUGGUAGAGCACUUACCUACCAUUGUGUGAGGCACUGGGUUCAAUCCUCAGCACCACA